rnacentral:rRNA from 1 species
GAGACAGCAGCCGCCGCGGUAAUACGUAGGUCCCGAGCGUUGUCCGGAUUUAUUGGGCGUAAAGCGAGCGCAGGCGGUUAGAUAAGUCUGAAGUUAAAGGCUGUGGCUUAACCAUAGUACGCUUUGGAAACUGUUUAACUUGAGUGCAAGAGGGGAGAGUGGAAUUCCAUGUGUAGCGGUGAAAUGCGUAGAUAUAUGGAGGAACACCGGUGGCGAAAGCGGCUCUCUGGCUUGUAACUGACGCUGAGGUUCGAAAGCGUGGGGAGCAAACAGGAUUAGAUACCCGCGUAGUCCCUGUCUCUUAUACC